rnacentral:rRNA from 1 species
GAUGAACGCUGGCGGCGUGCCUAAUACAUGCAAGUCGUGCGGAAAGGCCACUUCGGUGGUACUCGAGCGGCGGACGGCAGAGUAACGCGUAGGAACAUACCCCAAAACUGAGGGAUAACUGCUCGAAAGAGUAGCUAAUACCGCAUGUGAUCUUCGGAUUAAAGCUUUCGGCGGUUUGGGAAGUGGCCUGCGUCCGAUUAGCUUGUUGGUGAGGGUAAUAGCUCACCAAGGCGACGAUCGGUAGCUGGUCUGAGAGGAUGAUCAGCCUGACUGGAACUGAGAACGGUCCAGACUCCUAC